rnacentral:rRNA from 1 species
AUUGAACGCUGGCGGCAGGCCUAACACAUGCAAGUCGAACGGUAGCACAGAGGAGCUUGCUCCUUGGGUGACGAGUGGCGGACGGGUGAGUAAUGUCUGGGAAACUGCCCGAUGGAGGGGGAUAACUACUGGAAACGGUAGCUAAUACCGCAUAACGUCGCAAGACCAAAGAGGGGGACCUUCGGGCCUCUUGCCAUCGGAUGUGCCCAGAUGGGAUUAGCUAGUAGGUGGGGUAACGGCUCACCUAGGCGACGAUCCCUAGCUGGUCUGAGAGGAUGACCAGCCACACUGGAACUGAGACACGGUCCAGACUCCUACGGGAGGCAGCAGUGGGGAAUAUUGCACAAUGGGCGCAAGCCUGAUGCAGCCAUGCCGCGUGUAUGAAGAAGGCCUUCGGGUUGUAAAGUACUUUCAGCGAGGAGGAAGGCGUUGUGGUUAAUAACCGCAACGAUUGACGUUACUCGCAGAAGAAGCACCGGCUAACUCCGUGCCAGCCGCCGC